rnacentral:rRNA from 1 species
GACAGAGGGUGCAAGCGUUGUUCGGAAUCAUUGGGCGUAAAGCGCGCGUAGGCGGCCUGUUAAGUCAGAUGUGAAAGCCCUGGGCUCAACCUGGGAAUUGCAUUUGAUACUGGCAAGCUUGAGUGUGGUAGAGGGAAGUGGAAUUCCGGGUGUAGCGGUGAAAUGCGUAGAUAUCCGGAGGAACACCAGUGGCGAAGGCGGCUUCCUGGACCAACACUGACGCUGAGGUGCGAAAGCGUGGGGAGCAAACAGG